rnacentral:lncRNA from 1 species
AAAAGCACAUAAAAUCCAGUAACAGAUCAUCUAGUAUCAAGGCAUGCAGCCCAGUCACUAUCAGAAUAGCCAGUAACAGAGAAAUCAGCAUGGGCAGAAUAAAAUAAACCCAAGGAAGGAGUGCCCUUAAGGUAUCGCAGAACAUGCAGGGCAGCAGUUAUAUUGGAAAGUCUGGGGGAUUUGAGGAAUUGACUCAGAUGUUGGACUGCAAAGCAUAUGUCAGGCCUAGUAUGAGUCAGAAAGAUGGGCAGAAUAAAAUAAACCCAAAGAAGGAGUGCCCUUAAGGUAUCUCAGAACAUGCAAGGCAGCAGUCAUAUAGGGAAGUCUGGGGCAUUUGAGGAAUUGACUCAGAUGUUGGGCUGCAAAGCAUAUGUCAGGCCUAGUAUGAGUCAGAAACAACAUUUUACCAACU